ACUUGUUGCAGUUAAAAAGCUCGUAGUUGAACUUCUGCUGCUUGGAUUUCGUUCCCUUCGGGGCUUCGUUUUCCUGGUGGCAUUAUUCCGGUUAANNUUGGCNUCGGCCUUCNUUUUCCGGUNUUACUUUGAGAAAAUUAGAGUGUUUCAAGCAGGCUUUUGCCUUGAAUACNUCAGCAUGGAAUAAUAAAGUAGGACUUUGGUUCUAUUNNGUUGCGUUUCCAGGCAGCCAAGNUA
rnacentral:rRNA from 1 species